rnacentral:rRNA from 1 species
CCCGCUGAACUUAAGCAUAUCAAUAAGCGGAGGAAAAGAAACUAACAAGGAUUCCCCUAGUAACUGCGAGUGAAGCGGGAAGAGCUCAAAUUUAAAAUCUGGCGGUCUCGCGGCCAUCCGAGUUGUAAUCUGGAGAAGCGUUUUCUGCGUCGGACCGUGUACAAGCCUUCUGGAACGGAGCGUCGUAGAGGGUGAGAAUCCCGUCUCUGACACGGACAGCCGAUGCUUCAUGUGAUACGCUCUCGAAGAGUCGAGUUGUUUGGGAAUGCAGCUCAAAAUGGGUGGUAAAUUUCAUCUAAAGCUAAAUAUUGGCCAGAGACCGAUAGCGCACAAGUAGAGUGAUCGAAAGAUGAAAAGCACUUUGGAAAGAGAGUUAAACAGUACGUGAAAUUGUUGAAAGGGAAGCGCUUGCAACCAGACUUGCACGCUGUCGAUCAUCCGAGAUUCUUCCCGGUGCACUCGACUGCGUUCAGGCCAGCAUCGGUUUUGGUGGUUGGAUAAAGGCCUUGGGAAUGUGGCUCCUCUCGGGGAGUGUUAUAGCCCUCGGUGCAAUGCAGCCUACUGGGACCGAGGACCGCGCUUCGGCUAGGAUGCUGGCGUAAUGGUUGUAAGCGACCCGUCUUGAAACACGG